UGAAUACGAGAUGCUACGGCGUCGAAGCAGUCUAUGUCAUACUUCCAAGAAAAGCUUGCACUGUCAUAAACAAAUAAUGCCUGUACCAUAACCGACACUGGUGGGUAGGUAGAGUAUACUAAGGGGCGCGAGAUAACUCUCUCUAAGGAACUCGGCAAAAUGACUCCGUAACUUCGGGAGAAGGAGUGCCUUAUUUAUAAGGUUGCAAUAACAAGAUCCAAGCAACUGUUUACCAAAAACACAGGUCUCCGCUAAGUCGUAAGACGAUGUAUGGGGGCUGACGCCUGCCCAGUGCCAGAAGGUUAAAGAAGUUGGUUAGCAUCCGCGAAGCUGAUAACUGAAGCCCUGGUGAACGGCGGCCGUAACAAUAACGGUCCUAAGGUAGCGAAAUUCCUUGUCGGGUAAGUUCCGACCCGCACGAAAGGCGUAAUGAUUUGGAUACUGUCUCGGAGAGGGGCUCGGCGAAAUAGACUUGUCUGUGAAGAUGCGGACUACCUGCACCAGGACAGAAAGACCCUAUGAAGCUUUACUGUAACCUGAAAUUGAAAUUGGACUUUACUUGCGCAGUAUAGGUGGGAGGCGUUGAGAAUAUUCUUGCGGGAUUAUUGGAGCCAUCAGUGAGAUACCACUCUUGUAAUGUUAGAUUUCUAACUUUGUAUCAUUAUCUGGUCAAAGAACAGUUUCAGGCGGGCAGUUUGACUGGGGCGGUCGCCUCCUAAACGGUAACGGAGGCGCACAAAGGUUUCCUCUGAACGGGUAGAAAUCGUAUCUAGAGUGUAAAGGCAUAAGGAAGCUUGACUGUGAGACCUACAAGUCGAGCAGGGACGAAAGUCGGUCUUAGUGAUCUGACGGUGCUGAGUGGAAAGGCCGUCACUCAACGGAUAAAAGUUACUCUAAGGAUAACAGGCUGAUCUCCCCCAAGAGUUCACAUCGACGGGGAGGUUUGGCACCUCGAUGUCGGCUCAUCGCAUCCUGGGGCGGUAGUACGUCCCAAGGGUUGGGCUGUUCGCCCAUGAAAGCGGUACGCGAGCUGGGUUCAGAACGUCGUGAGACAGUUCGGUCCAUAUCCGGUGUAGGCGUUAGAAUAUUGAGAGGAGCCUUCUUUAGUACGAGAGGACCGAGAAGGACAUACCUCUGGUGUACCAGUUAUCGUGCCAACGGUAAACGCUGGGUAGCUAUGUGUGGAGUGGAUAACCGCUGAAAGCAUCUAAGUGGGAAGCCCACCUCAAGAUAAG
rnacentral:rRNA from 1 species